GAGCUGAGCUGUCCACCUUAGUAGGGAAACGAACUACAAAGCUCCUCAGAUUGUCUAAAUUCCCAGUAUUGUAUUGGAAAUUGAAUUCGACGGAGGCUUAGAUUAUACAGCGCCCGCCCGCAUAUCUGGAAUUUGUGGAAGGUGAAGCAGCAAAGCGGUGGGAAGGUGACAAAGACAAUAAUUAUAUGCUGUGUGGGUGGGUCGUUUCAAGAGAGAGAGAUGAUCACUCGGUCUAAACUGGUGGAGCAACUCCGUGAUUACCAGAUCCGAUUCCAGCAUAAAUGUCCCGCUCUUACCGUCUUCUCUCCCAAACCCCUCCUCACAACCUGGGAUGAUGUUAUGGUGGCCAUCUUGUGGGCAUCAUUGUUCAGUGCACUUGUCAUAUCAUCAUAUGUGACCCUAUAUUUCAGACACUACUGGGUUUCUUUUGUGAUCAUGUGCUUUGGUAUUUUUCUUCCAGUUCGCUUGAGAAUUUCACGGCAGGUGCUUGCAAGGAAAAAAGAAAGACUAUUACCACUGUCGUUUUGAUCACCGCUUCUGUUGCAGUAGCUGCAGAGCCGAGUUUGACUGACUGGUACAUUCACUGAACCGUGGUGCUGAUUUUGUUAAGAGCUCUGACUUAGUUCAGGUAUCUUUAUCACCUCUCGUGACGACGGUGGCGCAAUGAUCUCUCUCUCUCUCCAUCUUCUUCAAGAAGCCUUGAAAUUUUACCAAGCAAUUCAUUCCUCUACCUGUAAAACUUCUCAAAGGAGAGUAUACAAAGGUCUUAUGACUCUCAGAAUUUCUUCCAGUUGAUUGCAAUGUUAUUGAAAGGAAUAGAUUCAAAGUCAGAGAUAUGUGUUUAGAUGUUUUAUCAAAAGUUAGGACAAAAAGGCGAAAUAUAUAUAUAGUCUGUGAGAAGAGCCUCUUACAGGUAUCAAGAGUAGGUGCUAAGGUAAGAAAGGAACCCCUUCUAGCAUAUGUCCAUUAUCCGACAUUGAGUUGGCAUGUAAAUAAAGGCAAUGGCUUUACUUGGUCUUUUACUUUCUUCUCUGCA